AUUCAUCAAUUAAGCUGCGGUUGCAGCUUCUGGGCAGUUCCAGCAUUCAUCAAUUAAGCUUCGGUUGCAGCUUCUGGGCAGUCGGCACACUCCAAUUCCCAGGUGGUCCAUCGUUCGGUAGUUUGUUUGGUAGAUGGAAUCUACCGAACACCCUGGCAGAAAGGCACGAAUAAACCUUUCAUCAGGGAAAAUAACAGCUCUGAACUGCAGGGCCAUAAUCUAAAGGGAGCAGGCGAGCAACCAGGCUUCGCCAGUGCAUAGUGGCGAGGUUGGUUCCGCCACACUAAAUAAAUAUCUGUACGAUAUUAACCUUCUCAGUCCUGGGUUAUAGCUGUGGUUAUUAACCCUGUCAUUGCUGGGUAAUAGCUCUCUCUCCC